rnacentral:rRNA from 1 species
GACGUAGGAGGCGAGCGUUGUCCGGAUUCAUUGGGCGUAAAGAGCGCGCAGGCGGCUUGGUAAGUCGGAUGUGAAAUCCCGAGGCUCAACCUCGGGUCUGCAUCCGAUACUGCCCGGCUAGAGGUAGGUAGGGGAGAUCGGAAUCCCUGGUGUAGCGGUGAAAUGCGCAGAUAUCAGGAGGAACACCGGUGGCGAAGGCGGAUCUCUGGGCCUUACCUGACGCUCAGGCGCGAAAGCUAGGGGGAGCGAACUGG